rnacentral:rRNA from 1 species
UACGUAGGCAGCAAGCGUUGUUCGGAGUUACUGGGCGUAAAGGGUGUGUAGGCGGUUCUUUAAGUUUGGUGUGAAAUCUCCCGGCUCAACUGGGAGGGUGCGCCGAAUACUGAGGGACUAGAGUACGGGAGAGGAAAGUGGAAUUCCUGGUGUAGCGGUGAAAUGCGUAGAUAUCAGGAGGAACACCGGUGGUGUAGACGGCUUUCUGGACCGUAACUGACGCUGAGUGAGCGAAAGCCAGGGGAGCAAACGGG